rnacentral:lncRNA from 1 species
UCCUAGUCCCCAAACAUAUGCAAAGAUGUUGGAGGAAAUCUCCGGUGGAGGUAAUGGGGUUAUAAAGUAAUGCUGAGAGCUGACUUUAAUAGUCACGAUCUGCUUUCAUGCUGAUCGCAGUGCUGGCUAUAUGGCAUUAUCUUCCCUCUCUUGAAAAGUUGAAGGAAAUGGUAUGCAUAGCCACACAUAGGCAUUCAUCUCACAUGUCCUGUACUAAAUCAGACAGGAUGAGAUGUCUUGACAAUGGAAAAAGUGCACAAAAUUUAAAAGCUACAUUCUCCAAUCAUUGAAGAUUCCACAGGUUGCUGGGAUCAGAUUAAUGUACCAUCUAGAAGUUCUUUGAGCAACUGAAUAAGAGGCAAGUAUCUUGACUCCUUAUGUGCUUAACUGCUUAUUUCUAGUUCUAUUAUCAUAUUAAUUCACUAGCUUUUGUAUUAUUAAAAACAUUAAUUACGUUGCUUUGUUCAGAUUGGGUACAUUGAUUUUUGUACAAAUGUGUGGAAGGGGAAAAUAUUUUAUGUGACACCUAUGUGAAUUAUCACGCACACCCUGUAUGAUGGUGUAUACUUUACUCAGUGUUACGAAUAUCUUGCACACAAGUAACCAUGCAUAACUCAAAUGUGAUUGAAAAUAUCCAACGGAAUGAAAUAUCCUAAGUAUAUAUAUAGUUAAGAAGGCAUUUUUGCAUCUUACUUCAGUAAGAAGUUUAUAUUUCUGGUUAAGUUAAAUAUGUGACUCCUCUUUUCGUUAUAUUUUCUGCUUCCUGAUAUUGUUUUGAAGAUAUAUCUUCUAUAUAUAAAGGAAAUUCCAGAGCAUUUAUCGUAUCUCGGUUGGAUGUUCCGUGGUUUCCUCAUGUGAUAACCACAUGAAAAAGAAAAUGUAAUAUCUUCCUAGAGUCCUUAAUGUAGAAGCAUACGGAUGAGGUAAGUAGUUGAAAAUCAGUUUAAAUAUUCAUAGAUAACUAUAUCUUGGAAUCUAAUUUUGCAUGGAUUCUUUGAGAAUCUCUAAGAACAUGGUUCGUAUGCAAAAUGUUCCUAGUUCCAUAGUAGAAAAAAGGGAGGCAGCAUCUAAAACCUCUCUCUAUUCUCUUUUAGGCCUCUUAUAAAGCCCAUAUCUUUGAAAUAUAUAAGCUAAAUACUUAAUCACAGCCAUCCACGUGCAUUGCCUGAAGCAUAUAAAAUUACCAUCAAAUAUAAAGGUGUUAAUAUAAGUCACAUGAUCACCAAUAUAAGGAUGUUAAUAUAAGUCAUACAAAAUUACCAUCAAAAUUCCAAAUGACAACAAAAUUGGCUCAUUUCUCUCUUUGAGACAACG